GGGGGGGGGGGGGGGGUUGAGAUUUAAUGUAAAAAGAUGUUAUUUGCACAGCAUUCACUGAAUGCAGCCCUUCUGUCGUUUCCAUUUGUAUUUCUAGAAAUUAAGCACUACUUCUAUACAAAUAUCCAUAUACUGUACAGAAAAACCGAGAAAAAAAAAAAAAAAAGACUGUGGGACACGUUUAAAUUAUUUCAAACAUCACGUUUGGCUCCUUUUAGGUUUAUUCCAUUUGUGACGCCCAGAGAAUGUUUUUAUUCUGCGUAUCCAUCCUGCUGACGUUGCUGCGUCCUCCAGCCUUUUUUCUAUGUGUAGGUGGAACCCGCCGUGUCCUCAUGUGUCGCUCUGUGGAGUCUCAGCUAAUCUAGCAGAACUGUAGUCGGCUUGCAUGGCAGCUCACGUCGUUCUGAACAACAUGGACCGUUUCAUUAUCUGUGCCAUGAAGAAGCAGCAAUAAUAAAGUUUGCAUCAGACGUAUUGUAACAUGUUUCAGCAGCAGAGCGGCGGGAGCUUCACGCGCCGUCGCUCCAGGAAUCCACAGCAGCGACGUCUCUGCACAGGCGGCGCCAUUUGUCUGAGAUCAGCAGCAACAGCAAAGACGCUUUAAACAUUUAAAGGGAGUCUGAAUCUGUUCAGAACAGAUUAAGUUUUUGCUUCAUGAGUGGAAGAUUUGUUCAUGACCCUUUGAGAUCUUUGCCUCAGACCAGAUGAGGAUCCACAGUGUUGCUUCUGCGCAGAUAAAAGGUUGAAUUACCUCAUGAAGGAAUAACUUCACAUCAAUUACCCAUUAAAAUUUAAAUUAAAACCUC